GGCUCAGGAUGAACGCUAGCUACAGGCUUAACACAUGCAAGUCGAGGGGCAGCAUGUCGGUUGCUUGCAACCGAUGAUGGCGACCGGCGCACGGGUGAGUAACGCGUAUCCAACCUACCCUUGUCCAUCGGAUAACCCGUCGAAAAGGCGGCCUAACACGAUAUGCGGUUCUCAGCAGGCAUCUAACGAGAACGAAAUGUGAAGGAGAAGGAUGGGGAUGCGUCUGAUUAGCUUGUUGGCGGGGUAACGGCCCACCAAGGCGACGAUCAGUAGGGGUUCUGAGAGGAAGGUCCCCCACAUUGGAACUGAGACACGGUCCAAACUCCUACGGGAGGCAGCAGUGAGGAAUAUUGGUCAAUGGACGGGAGUCUGAACCAGCCAAGUAGCGUGCAGGAAGACGGCCCUAUGGGUUGUAAACUGCUUUUAUAGGGGGAUAAAGUGUGCCACGUGUGGCAUAUUGCAGGUACCCUAUGAAUAAGGACCGGCUAAUUCCGUG
rnacentral:rRNA from 1 species